rnacentral:tRNA from 1 species
AGGUCUGUGGUGAAAGGGUAUCAUUACGGUCUCCAAAACCGUCGUUCCUAGUUCGAAUCUAGGCAGACCUGCCA